rnacentral:rRNA from 1 species
GGGUCAGUAGAUUGGUCAUGCCUCCGGUAUGCACUGGUCUUACUGGCUCCUCCUUCCUGAUGAACCGUAAUGCCAUUAAUUUGGUGUUGCGGGGAGACUGGACUGUUACUUUGAAAAAAUUAGAGUGUUUAAAGCAGGCAAGCGCUUGAAUACAUUAGCAUGGAAUAAUGAAAUAGGACG